rnacentral:rRNA from 1 species
UACGAAGGGUGCAAACGUUGCUCGGAAUCAUUGGGCGUAAAGCGCACGUAGGCGGCUUUGCAAGUCGGACGUGAAAUCCCUCAGCUCAACUGAGGACGUGCAUCCGAAACUGCAAGGCUUGAGUACUGAAGAGGAUCGCGGAAUUCCCGGUGUAGAGGUGAAAUUCGUAGAUAUCGGGAGGAACACCAGUGGCGAAGGCGGCGAUCUGGGCAGAUACUGACGCUGAGGUGCGAAAGCGUGGGGAGCAAGCAGG